rnacentral:rRNA from 1 species
UACGAAGGGGGCUAGCGUUGCUCGGAAUUACUGGGCGUAAAGCGUGCGCAGGCGGUUUUGUAAGUUUGUCGUGAAAUCCCCGGGCUCAACCUGGGAAUGGCGAUGAAGACUGCAAGGCUAGAAUCUGGCAGAGGGGGGUAGAAUUCCACGUGUAGCAGUGAAAUGCGUAGAGAUGUGGAGGAGCACCGAUGGCGAAGGCAGCCCCCUGGGUCAAGAUUGACGCUCAUGCACGAAAGCGUGGGGAGCAAACAGG